UACGUAGGGUGCGAGCGUUAAUCGGAAUUACUGGGCGUAAAGCGUGCGCAGGCGGUCUGUUAAGACAGAUGUGAAAUCCCCGGGCUUAACCUGGGAACUGCAUUUGUGACUGGCAGGCUAGAGUAUGGCAGAGGGGGGUAGAAUUCCACGUGUAGCAGUGAAAUGCGUAGAGAUGUGGAGGAAUACCGGUGGCGAAGGCAGCCCCCUGGGCCAAUACUGACGCUCAUGCACGAAAGCGUGGGGAGCAAACGAGG
rnacentral:rRNA from 1 species